CCACAUGGUUUUGAUAUCAAAGAUUUUAUCGCUUGAAGAUGGACUCGCGUCCGAUUAGUUAGUUGGUGAGGUAACGGCUCACCAAGACCGCGAUCGGUAGCCGGACUGAGAGGUUGAACGGCCACAUUGGGACUGAGACACGGCCCAGACUCCUACGGGAGGCAGCAGUGGGGGAUAUUGCGCAAUGGGGGCAACCCUGACGCAGCAACGCCGCGUGAAGGAUGAAGGUUUUCGGAUUGUAAACUUCUUUUAUUAAGGACGAAAAAUGACGGUACUUAAUGAAUAAGCUCCGGCUAACUACGUGCCAGCAGCCGCGGUAAUACGUAGGGAGCAAGCGUUGUCCGGAUUUACUGGGUGUAAAGGGUGCGUAGGCGGCUUUGCAAGUCAGAUGUGAAAUCUAUGGGCUCAACCCAUAAACUGCAUUUGAAACUGUAGAGCUUGAGUGAAGUAGAGGCAGGCGGAAUUCCCCGUGUAGCGGUGAAAUGCGUAGAGAUGGGGAGGAACACCAGUGGCGAAGGCGGCCUGCUGGGCUUUAACUGACGCUGAGGCACGAAAGCGUGGGUAGCAAACAGGAUUAGAUACCCUGGUAGUCCACGCUGUAAACGAUGAUUACUAGGUGUGGGGGGUCUGACCCCUUCCGUGCCGGAGUUAACACAAUAAGUAAUCCACCUGGGGAGUAC
rnacentral:rRNA from 1 species